rfam:Schistosoma rodhaini strain Burundi genome assembly, scaffold: SROB_scaffold0005347
AUCCGGCUGACGAGUCCCAGAUGGGACGAAACAUGCGUCCUGGAU